GUUGUAUUACAGCUUCCCACCAGCAGGGGCAGCAGAGAGCGCCGAGCUGCAGAUGAGCAGCAGGUGGGAAAGACGAGACAACUGAGCACCUGUUCAAGAAAUCAGGAGUUUCACUGCCCCUCGUCCUGGUAUUUAACCGUCAUCGGAGGCUGACCUGCGGCUCUCCCCCAGACGUGCCCGGCUGGUCUUGCCGCUGGCGUCGCUUUAUCCCUGAUAGUGUGAGGAGUCGAUGGAAUCCUUUGAUGUCAUCAGUCGUAGUUUGGACCGCCACCUUUGCGUCAUCAGCGGUUAUUUCCUGUCAUCAGUUGAAGUCACUGAAGGACACAGGAAGGGGACAUUGAUGGUCAACGGAAGGGCGAAGUUUUAAGGCGGUGCGAUUAUUUUCAAGGUCCAGUCAGACGCAGCGCUCUAGCUGCCGGUCCGGGUCACUCGGCUCUGAAAGGAUCUCUCUGCCUCCUCAGAUGUGGUCCCAGCUCUGCCCACUAACAUCCUCAAAUAUGUCCAGAAACAGCCGAGACACAGCUUCAGCUCCUGGAACACACCAUGAAAUCCUGCCUGCUGCUGAGAUUUGGAUGAACCAGAAUCUCCGUUUCUUCCUUUUCUUGUGUAGAAACAUCAGGACCAGCUCGUCAUUGCAGGAAAGAUUCACCACGUGCUCGGUGUGGAAUGCCCUUAAGUUGGCAUAAAGUUAUAAAAUGCUUUGAGCAAGAAUAGAAACAUGCUGAAAUAAAACUACAUUAAAGUAUUUUUACUCAGCAGCUGAUGAAAACAGAACCAGAUGUGUUCCCUGAGGGCGGCUGCCUCAGAGUGCGGUAUGCCGAAAAGGUUAUCUUCAGCCCACACCACGGGCUUUUCCUGUACCUGAAGUAUUUUGCUGUUCCAUAUUUUUAUCCUGGGACUGUUUAGCCGUUCACAUUUUAAAAUAAUCCUCCUUUCUCCCACUCUGGGUCUUAGUGCACACAAAUGUUUAUCCUCCGUAUCAAACCAGCAGUUUUAGCGCCACCCAGUUCCAAGACAACUCUCUUCUGAUUGGCUGCCCCUCAAACAGAACACAGCAGGUGGGUGGAGCUUAUUUGUUAAUAGCAGUCAUAUAGGCCCAUUCCUUCUAAAGUCAUCAUAAAGAUUCAGGAGUGUUGAAACGUGGCCUUUAACCCUUUUUACAAGCGUUCUUUAAAUGACCGUGACUCAUUUGAGACAAAAUUCAAACGGCUUCAAAAAUAGUCGAUGACGAGCUUCACGGAGGUGGAGUUAGCACGUUACUGUCAGUCCUCAGGCCCGCUUGACGCUUUGGUGAUAACGUGAGGGGUGCACCUGACUCGGAGCUGGAUUGGACAUCGGUGGCAGCUGGUCACUGUGUUCAGGUCAGUUGUGUGUGGACUGUAAAAAGCUGGAUUAGUGCACUUUUUAUUUUAACUGCUUCCCCGAGACUCUUUGUUCACACACUGCAUUGUAAAUGGUCUGCAUUUG